GUGGCUGGGCCGGCGGCGGCGGCGGUACGAGGCGCGCGCUCGGGGUCCCGGUCGCGAGGAGGAGGAGGAUGUGGCGCGCGGAGGGGAAAUGGCUGCCGAAAACAAGCCGGAAGAGCGUUUCCCAAAGUGUAUUCUGCGGAACUAGCACCUACUGUGUUCUCAACACCGUGCCACCUCUAGAAGAUGAUCAUGGGAACAGCAAUAGUAGUCAUGUAAAAAUCUUUUUACCGAAAAAGCUGCUUGAAUGUCUGCCGAAAUGUUCAAGUUUACCCAAAGAGAGGCACCGAUGGAACACUAAUGAGGCUCUCACCACACACUUGUUCAUGGGCGCGGCGAAGAGGGAGCCACAGAGCCGGAGCUGGGAGGGCUGC
rnacentral:lncRNA from 1 species